rnacentral:tRNA from 1 species
GAGGGUACAGCUCAGUGGUAGAGCAAAUGCUCAGCAUGCGUGAGGCCUUGGUUCAAUCCCCAGUACCUACA